AAGGGCGUCCGCGUGAAAGGUUCCCGGCGACGGGAUGAAAAGGGAAGUUCGGUGCGCGUGUGGGGAAACCCCGGCAAGCCCGACGCUGCCCCCGCAACUGUGACCGGAUAGCGGCCACCCCGAUAUGCCACUGGCCGCAAGGUUGGGAAGGCGGGGCGGAUGCGACGACCCGGGAGCCAGGAGACCUGCCCGUCACGGUCGAUUCCA
rnacentral:ncRNA from 2 species